UUCUGAGGUCCUGAAUGUGGUGGUGACCAUAUGGUGUGACUUUUCCUCCUUGUUGAGGCUUGACAAGGAAACGUGACCACUGGUUGAACAGGAGCCAUGGAGAACUACCACAGAACAAAUAUGGAAAGCUCUGAAUUUCAAAGCUGUGCUACCCUCAAAUUCCUCUUCGUGAAUAUUCAGGGGCUUCAGAGGGAAAGGAAGCUAUGUUUUACCUAACUUAGGUGUUUUACAACAUUUCUAAUGCUUGAAGAAUUCAACACUUUGCAGAAACUCUUCUGGAUCAUCUAUGCUACAAAUUCAUUCACACCAAGAUUUCAGCCAGACUGACUGAAUGUUAUCCAGGAUAUUUAAAUCUGCAUGAUUCAGUAUAUGCUCUGUAGUGCUGGAGCCUU